GCUCUGAUGAAGCUAAUUAGCAUCGGUCUUGUAAACCGAAGAUAAGAAGACUCUCUCCAGAGCU
rnacentral:tRNA from 1 species